GACGAACGCUGGCGGCGUGCUUAACACAUGCAAGUCGAACGGUGAAGCGCUUUCCUUUUUGGUUGGUGUGGAUGAGUGGCGAACGGGUGAGUAACACGUGAGUAACCUGCCCCCUUCUUCUGGAUAACCGCAUGAAAGUGUGGCUAAUACGGGAUAUUCUGCGCCUGCUGCAUGGUGGGUGUGGGAAAGAUUGUGCCUUUGGGUGUUUUCGGUGGGGGAUGGGCUCGCGGCCUAUCAGCUUGUUGGUGGGGUGAUGGCCUACCAAGGCGGUGACGGGUAGCCGGCCGGGGGGGGUGGAGGGGCCCCCGGGGACUGGGACAGGGCCCAAACUCCUACGGGGGGAGGGAGGGGGGAAUAUUGCACAAGGGGCGCAAGCCUGAUGCGGCGACGCCGGGUGAGGGGUGGGGGCCUUCGGGUUGGGAACCUCUUUCGCCAGUGAAGCAGGCCUGCUCUUGGUGGGUGGGUGGACGGUAGCGGGAAAAGAAGCCCCGGCAAACUCCGU
rnacentral:rRNA from 1 species